rnacentral:rRNA from 1 species
UACGUAGGGUGCGAGCGUUGUCCGGAAUUAUUGGGCGUAAAGAGCUCGUAGGCGGUCUGUCGCGUCUGCUGUGAAAACCCGAGGCUCAACCUCGGGCCUGCAGUGGGUACGGGCAGACUAGAGUGCGGUAGGGGAGAAUGGAAUUCCUGGUGUAGCGGUGAAAUGCGCAGAUAUCAGGAGGAACACCGGUGGCGAAGGCGGGUCUCUGGGCCGAUACUGACGCUGAGGAGCGAGAGCGUGGGGAGCGAACCGG